ensembl:lncRNA
GGGAUCAAUAAAGUAUCUAUCUAUCUAUCUAUCUAUUAAGAAAUAGCACCUGGAAUCCCCACAAAUGAUGCAACAAUUAAGGUGGACGUCAUGAGCGAUGUGAAUGAAUGAGAUGGUUGUUUUAAAGGAAGUGGCGUGGCGGCCUUGCAAAUUUAGAUCCUUCGCCCAGCCUGCCGAAACUGCAUGGCGAGCGGCAUUUAAGAGCCUUCGGUCCAAACUUCUCGUGAUAGAAGCACAAGCCUGAAGAAGACUGCUGGGGGCCUGAAACUUGCUGACGACCUGAAGACAGCUGCCGACGAGAAGAGCUUUCUCUCGGCCUGCAAACGCCUUAAUAGUCAUGAAUGCACAAAAACUUAGUUUGAACAAAAAAGGUUGGAAAACUAUUCACAAACCAUGAUACCACCAUGAAAAGGAGGAAUGUACUUUCCUGAGGUGCUAGUUUUAGGUAAACACUGUUAACCAAUGCAUUCUUGUGUUCUGUGCGUUUUCAGCUUUCUCUCGGCCUGCAAACGCCUUAAUAGUCAAGAUUGCACCAAAACUUAGUUUGAACAAAAAAGGUUGGAAAACUAUUCACAAAUCAUGAUACCAUCAUAAAACAGAUACAUGUACUUUCCUGACGUGUUAGUUUGAUGAAAACACUGUUAACCAAU